CGUUCGGGAAGUGCUGGGAGUCACAGCGAGGAGGACGGACGGAGAGUCAAGCGAAAGAAAGCGAAGAAACCGCGUAAACGCAAAAGGGGAAAACCUAUCUGAUAUGCUGAUGCAAGAGUUAAAAUACGGGAAGGUCGCCAUCCCAAGACUCUCCGAAGAAAAGAAGAGGAGAAGUGAGUCGUGUGUGAAGGGCGGUAA